UACGAAGGGUGCAAGCGUUACUCGGAAUUACUGGGCGUAAAGCGUGCGUAGGUGGUUUGUUAAGUCUGAUGUGAAAGCCCUGGGCUCAACCUGGGAAUUGCAUUGGAUACUGGCAGGCUAGAGUGCGGUAGAGGGUAGUGGAAUUCCCGGUGUAGCAGUGAAAUGCGCAGAUAUCAGGAAGAACACCCGUGGCGAAGGCGGCUCUCUGGAACGCAACUGACGCUGAGACGCGAAAGCGUGGGGAGCGAACAGG
rnacentral:rRNA from 1 species